rnacentral:rRNA from 1 species
UACAUGCAAGUCGAGCGGUAAGGCCUCUUCGGAGGUACACGAGCGGCGGACGGCUGAGUAACACGUAGGAACGUACCCCAAAGUGAGGGAUAACUGCUCGAAAGAGUAGCUAAUACCGCAUGUGAUCCACGGAUUAAAGCUUUAUGCGCUUUGGGAACGGCCUGCGUCCGAUUAGCUUGUUGGUGAGGUAAUGGCUCACCAAGGCGAUGAUCGGUAGCUGGUCUGAGAGGAUGAUCAGCCAGACUGGGACUGAGACACGGCCCAGACUCCUACGGGAGGCAGCAGUAGGGAAUUUUCCACAAUGGGCGAGAGCCUGAUGGAGCAACGCCGCGUGCAGGAUGAAUGCCUUCGGGUUGUAAACUGCUUUUGUUAGUGACGAUUAUGACGGUAGCUAACGAAUAAGGGUCUGCUAACUACGUGCCAGCAGCCGCGGUCAUACGUAGGACCCAAGCGUUAUCCGGAAUUACUGGGCGUAAAGAGUUGCGUAGGUGGCAUAGUAAGUAGAUAGUGAAAGCGUGUGGCUCAACCAUACAUCCAUUAUCUAAACUGCUAAGCUUGAAGAUGAGAGAGGUAGAUGGAAUUCCUGAUGUAGGGGUAAUAUCCGUAGAUAUCAGGAGGAACACCGAUGGCGUAGGCAGUCUACUGGCUCAUUCUUGACACUAAGGCACGAAAGCGUGGGGAGCAAACGGGAUUAGAUACCCCGGUAGUCCACGCCGUAAACUAUGGAUGCUAGCUGUAAGCCGUAUCGACCCGGCUUGUAGCGAAGCUAACGCGUUAAGCAUCCCGCCUGUGGAGUACGGUCGCAAGACUAAAACAUAAAGGAAUUGACGGGGACCCGCACAAGCGGUGGAGCGUGUUGUUUAAUUCGAUGGUAAGCGAAGAACCUUACCCAGGCUUGACAUCC